rnacentral:rRNA from 1 species
AUUGAACGCUGGCGGCAGGCCUAACACAUGCAAGUCGAGCGGAUGAAUGGAGCUUGCUCCUGGACUCAGCGGCGGACGGGUGAGUAAUGCCUAGGAAUCUGCCUUGUCGUGGGGGAUAACGUCCGGAAACGGGCGCUAAUACCGCAUACGUCCUGAGAGAGCAAGUGGGGGAUCUUCGGAUCUCACGCUAUCAGAUGAGCCUAGGUCGGAUUAGCUAGUUGGUGGGGUAAAGGCCUACCAAGGCGACGAUCCGUAACUGGUCUGAGAGGAUGAUCAGUCACACUGGAACUGAGACACGGUCCAGACUCCUACGGGAGGCAGCAGUGGGGAAUAUUGGACAAUGGGCGAAAGCCUGAUCCAGCCAUGCCGCGUGUGUGAAGAAGGUCUUCGGAUUGUAAAGCACUUUAAGUUGGGAGGAAGGGCAGUAAGUUAAUACCUUGCUGUUUUGACGUUACCAACAGAAUAAGCACCGGCUAACUUCGUG